UACGUAGGGUGCAAGCGUUGUCCGGAAUUAUUGGGCGUAAAGAGCUCGUAGGCGGUUUGUUGCGUCGGCUGUGAAAUCCCGAGGCUCAACCUCGGGUCUGCAGUCGAUACGAGCAAACUAGAGUGUUGCAGGGGAGACUGGAAUUCCUGGUGUAGCGGUGAAAUGCGCAGAUAUCAGGAGGAACACCGGUGGCGAAGGCGGGUCUCUGGGCAACAACUGACGCUGGAGGAGCGAAAGCGUGGGGGAGC
rnacentral:rRNA from 1 species